AGUAAAAUGGCUGAUAAAAGCAAUAAAUUGUAAAUUUAUUCAUAAAUAUUAAUAAUAUUUUUUUACUA
rnacentral:tRNA from 1 species